rnacentral:lncRNA from 1 species
AUACUAAUUUACAUAGUAAUUUUAUUCUAGUUUCUACUUUGCUUAAUUUGACAAGAAAAUUCUAGUUGUAGUAAAAUUUACAUUAGAACUCAUCUAGGAACACAGCUCAUCAUGUUGAUAGCCCCAGGCAUCAGCUGAUAUAUUAAAGAAUAGCUUUACACAAAUAUUAAAUAUAGAAACCUAGGAUACAGAUCAUACUGAAAGAUGGUAAGAGGCUUUGUUCAUUUAUUGAUAGGAAAAAUCAGUUGUGUUAAUGAAACUAAAUAUUAGGAAGGAAAACAAAAGUGUUACUGAAAUGGGAGAGUUCCCUGAUCCCCCUUACAGGAUGUGUAACAGAGGUGUGGCUUGCCUGUUGGUCGCUGCUGCUACUCAAACCCCUGAUGGGAGGCAGACCACGCAGAUGGUCAGGUGCAAGAGGUGGGGCGAGUGCUUUGGGCUCCAGCCCCGUGGCAGUAUCUAGGGGUGGGUGCCUGCAGCCCCAGUGUUACAAUGCUCUUUUAGCUCUUUUAACCUUGCUGUCCACAGACAGCUUAAGUGUUAACCAACUCAACAGACCCUCUUUUUGCAAGGGCAGAGGGCUAGUGUGACAACUUUGCAAGGGCAGCGGGCCAGUGUGACAACUUUCUGUAUCCUGAACUCUUGCCCAGAGUCCUGGAAGAAUUGGGUCACACAUGGGCUUGAAGGAUGAAAUUGGGGUUUUAUUGAGUGGUGGAGGUGGCUUUCAGCUAGAUGUAUGAGGAGCUGGAAAGGGGAUAGAGUGGGAAGAUGAUCUUCCCCUGGAGUUUGGCCAUCCAGUGGACUAAAUCCUCUCUGAAUGCCCUCAGCCAAACUCUUCUUGGUGUUCAGAUGUUACUUCUCUUCUUUCUCUUUCUCGGCUGUGCCAUUCUGCCAUUCACCGGCUUGUCUCCUCAUCUCUUUGUCUGCUUCUGGAGCUUGUUUUUCUGUGGAACUCUCAAAGAGUAAAUGGAAAAUUAGCUUUGUGUUUUUGUUUGAAGAAGACUAUGUAGAGGAGAGUUAUUUGAGCUCUUAGCAAAGGAAGCUCCAUUUGCCUCUUUUCUUUUCCUCUGUCUAGUUUUUCCAUGAGAUGAGGAUAAUUGUAGGAACCUUGUUUAUUUAUAAAGCAGAUCCCAGACAGUCAUAGUGAGAGGUGACAGCAUGCUGGCAGUCGUCGCAGCCCUCGCUCGCUCUUGGCGCCUCCUCGGCCUGGGCGCCCACUCUGGCCGCGCCUGAGGAGCCCUUCAGCCCGUCGCUGCACUGUGGGAGCCUCUUCCUGGGAUGGCCGAGGCAGGAGCCAGCUCCCUCAGCCUGAGGGGAAGUGCGGAGGGAGAGGCACGGGCAGGAACCGGGGCUGCGCGUAGCCCUUGCGGGCCAGCUAGAGUUCCGGGUUGGCGUGGGUUUGGCGGGCCCCGCCUCCCUGGGCAAUGAGGAGCUUAGCACCCGGACCAGCAGGGUUUAGCAACCGGGCCAGCAGCUGAGGAGGGUGCGCUGGGUCCCCCAGCAGUGCCAGCCUACCGGCGCUGCGCUCGAUUUCUCGCGGGGCCUUAGGUGCCUCCCCGCGGGGCAGGGCUCCGGACCUGCAGCCCGCC